rnacentral:rRNA from 1 species
AUUGAACGCUGGCGGCAGGCCUAACACAUGCAAGUCGAGCGCGCGGCGGACGGGUGAGUAAUGUAUGGGGAACUGCCCGAUAGAGGGGGAUAACUACUGUAAACGGUAGCUAAUACCGCAUACCCUCUGAUGUGCCCAGAUGGGAUUAGCUAGUAGGGGGGGUAAAGGCUCACCUAGGCGACGAUCCCUAGCUGGUCUGAGAGGAUGACCAGCCACACUGGAACUGAGACACGGUCCAGACUCCUACGGGAGGCAGCAGUGGGGAAUAUUGCACAAUGGGCGCAAGCCUGAUGCAGCCAUGCCGCGUGUAUGAAGAAGGCCUUCGGGUUGUAAAGUACUUUCAGCGGGGAGGCGUUACCCGCAGAAGAAGCACCGGCUAACACCGUGCCAGCAGCCGCGGUAAUAC